AUUGAACGCUGGCGGCAGGCCUAACACAUGCAAGUCGAACGAGUGGCGGACGGGUGAGUAAUGUCUGGGAAACUGCCCGCUGGAGGGGGAUAACUACUGGAAACGGUAGCUAAUACAGCAUACCAUCGGAUGUGCCCAGAUGGGAUUCGCUAGUAGGUGGGGUAACGGCUAACCUAGGCGACGAUCCCUAGCUGGUCUGAGAGGAUGACCAGCCACACUGGAAAUGGGACACGGUCCAUACUCCGACGCGAGGCAGCAGUGGGGAAUAUUGCACAAUGGGCGCAAGCCUGAUGCAGCCAUGCCGCGUGUAUGAAGAAGGCCUUCGGGUUGUAAAGUACUUUCAGCGAGGAGGCGUUACUCGCAGAAGAAGCACCGGCUAACUCCGUGCCAGCAGCCGCGGUAAUUC
rnacentral:rRNA from 1 species